rnacentral:rRNA from 1 species
AUGGGUGUCCAGUGGGGCAUUGGUAAUGGUGAAGAUGUUUGUAUUUUAACGGAUCACUGGAUUCCUUCAACUCCACCGCACCGUCUUCACUCACUUCUGCCUAUACCUGCUACUGCCAAGGUAAAAUGUCUGAUUGAUGAGGAGGCUGGUUCAUGGAAUGAAGAUUCAGUUCGGGAUUUCUUCCGUGAUGACGUGGCUGCAGAAAUUCUACGCAUUCCUAUUAGCGGAAAUGGUGGUAUAGACUUUGCAAGAUGGCCUUUUACCAAGUAUGGCGAAUACACGGUACGAUCUGCAUAUCAUAUGGCGCGGUCGGCUCGUUUUCUUGAUACUCGCAGCAAAAGUGGCUUUGGUCUAUCCUCGAAUAGAGUUGUUGAGGAGAAGAAUUGGAAGGCCAUUUGGUCUGUAAAAGCUCCCAAUAAAAUGAAAGUUGUCCUAUGGCGUUUUGCUCAAGAUUGUCUUCCAUCAGGAGCACAGUUACAACGACGACAUAUCCCUGAUGCUGCGUGUUGCUGUUUCUGUGGUCGUCUGGAGAGUGUGGAGCAUGCAUUUCUAUUCUGUCCGCGUGCAAGGGCCAUAUGGGAUGCGAUCAAGGAAUGCCAGAUAUCCAACUAUGUCGUUCUUCUUUCAGAAAUACUAAGCAGUGGCUAUUUGAAUUCCUUGACAGAUCUUCGGAUAAGGAAAUCACAAUUCUGGCUGUGUCCUUUUGGUAUAUUUGGGAAGCACGUAAUGACGCGCGACACUCACCGGAAAUACCUAAUCCUCGUCAUACAAUGGAGAAAAUCCGUGCUUACACUAAUCUAA